rnacentral:rRNA from 1 species
UGCCUAUUAGCGAGCCCCUCCAAUUAAACCCUACAAAGCUAACAUUAAUAAACCCAAGAACACUUGAAACUCAACUAACAAAGCAUUUUGACCCCUAACUAUGGUAGACAGAAAAGGGCUACAAGGGUGCAAUAGACGAAGUACUGUAAGGCAAAGCUGUAAGACAGAUGAAUCAGUCCAGGAAAGCGAUAAAACUCAGAGCGUACUCCUUGUACCUUUUGCAUGAUGAUUUCGCCAGCGAAUUCAAAAAGAGUACUUUCGUUUGUAAUCCCGCGACAUGUGUCGGCUUCUCCAAGACGCCCUAUUUAUUGGGCAAGUCCGUCUGAGUGGCAAAAGUGGGGAGCAGCUUCGAGUAGGGGUGGUAAGACCUAUCGAACUCAGUAAUAGCUGGUUGGCCGGGUAUUGGCUAAAAGUUCUGCCUCAUCGCUUCUCGCUUCAUACUAUAAUAACUACCCAAUGUUUAAAACAAACCGUGAGAGUUAGUCAAUGGGGGUGCAGCCCCAUUGAAUAAACAUACAACUAUUUUAGAAGGAUAAAGAGUAUAAUUUUUACAGAAGAAUGUGUCGGUGGGCGAAAAAGCAGUCAUCGCAACAGAACUCGUUGAAGCUCAGAGGCAAUACUCUCUCCCUCUAUCCUGCUACCACAUUCUUAAUCCCCUUACAUUACCGAGCCUCCCCAUGCACUCAUGGGGGCGACCCUGCUAAAAUGAGUAAUAAGAGAGCUACAGACUCUCUCCUAGCACAUGUGUAAAUCGGUGCGGACCCCCCACCGAACAAUAACGGCCCCAAAUCAAGAGGGUAUCGGACAAACGUUCAAAUACGAAACUAGAAAAUCGUCCCGACCAACACCGUUAACCCUACACUGGUGUGCUUACCAGGAAAGACUAAAAGAAAGAGAUGGAACUCGGCAAACAUUUGUCAAGCAUCGCCUGUUUACGUAAAACAUUGCCUCUUGCAAAACCAAAGAAUAAGAGGUCCCGCCUGCCCGGUGACUAUAUGUUUAACGGCCGCGGUAUUUUGACCGUGCGAAGGUAGCGUAAUCACUUGUCUUUUAAAUGGAGACCUGUAUGAAUGGCAUAACGAGGGCUUAACUGUCUCCUCUUUCCGGUCAAUGAAAUUGAUCUCCCCGUGCAGAAGCGGGGAUAAAAACAUAAGACGAGAAGACCCUAUGGAGCUUUAGACACCAAGACAGACCAUGUUAAGUACCCCUAAACAAAGACCCGAACUUAGUGGCAUCCUGUCCCAAUGUCUUCGGUUGGGGCGACCAUGGGGUAGCACAAAACCCCCAUGCGGAAUGGGAGAACAAGCCCAACACUCUUUUCCCAUACUCCCACAGACAAGAGCUACAUCUCUAAUCAACCAGAAUCUCUGACCUUUCAUGAUCCGGCCUUAGCCGAUCAACGAACAGUUACCCUAGGGAUAACAGCGCAAUCCCCUUUUUGAGCCCAUAUCGACAAGGGGGUUUACGACGUCGAUGUUGGAUCAGGACAUCCUAAUGGUGCAGCCGCUAUUAAGGGUUCGUUUGUUCAACGAUUAAAGUCCUACGUGAUCUGAGUUCAGACCGGAGUAAUCCAGGUCAGUUUCUAUCUAUGAAGUUAAUCUUUUCUAGUACGAAAGGACCGAAAAGAAGAGGCCUAUACCCCAGGCACGCCUCUCCCUUACCUAAUGAAAUCAUCUAAACUAGGCAAGAGGGUACAUUCCCCCAUGCCUAAGAGAAUGGCAU